rnacentral:rRNA from 1 species
CGGAGGGAUCAUUACCGAGUUUACAACUCCCAAACCCCUGUGAACAUACCUAUCGUUGCUUCGGCGGAUCCGCCCCGGCGCCCUCGGGCCCGGAUCAGGCGCCCGCCGGAGACCCCAAACUCUUGUAUUUCUUUAGUAUCUUCUGAGUAAACAAGCAAAUAAAUUAAAACUUUUAACAACGGAUCUCUUGGUUCUGGCAUCGAUGAAGAACGCAGCGAAAUGCGAUAAGUAAUGUGAAUUGCAGAAUUCCGUGAAUCAUCGAAUCUUUGAACGCACAUUGCGCCCGCCAGUACUCUGGCGGGCAUGCCUGUUCGAGCGUCAUUUCAACCCUCAAGCCCCCGGGCUUGGUGUUGGGGCUCGGCCCGUCCCUCGUGGCGCGCCGUCCCCGAAAUCCAGUGGCGGUCACGCUGUACUCCUCUGCGUAGUAAUCCAACCUCGCAACGGGACAAAGCCUGGCCACGCCGUUAAACCCCCCACUUCUGAAGGUUGACCUCGGAUCAGGUAGGAAUACCCGCUGAACUUAAGCAUAUCAA